UACGGUGACCGGCUACGGCCGGGAUGUUCAUAACCCUUUGUUGUCCGACUCUGUUGCCUCCGGGGCGACCCUGCCUUCGGGCGGGGGCUCCGGGUGGACACUUCAAACUCUUGCGUAACUUUGCAGUCUGAGUAAACUUAAUUAAUAAAUUAAAACUUUUAACAACGGAUCUCUUGGUUCUGGCAUCGAUGAAGAACGCAGCGAAAUGCGAUAAGUAAUGUGAAUUGCAGAAUUCAGUGAAUCAUCGAAUCUUUGAACGCACAUUGCGCCCCCUGGUAUUCCGGGGGGCAUGCCUGUUCGAGCGUCAUUUCACCACUCAAGCCUCGCUUGGUAUUGGGCAACGCGGUCCGCCGCGUGCCUCAAAUCGUCCGGCUGGGUCUUCUGUCCCCUAAGCGUUGUGGAAACUAUUCGCUAAAGGGUGUUCGGGAGGCUACGCCGUAAAACAACCCCAUUUCUAAGGUUGACCUCGGAUCAGGUAGGGAUACCCGCUGAACUUAAGCAUAUCAAAGUCGGAGGAA
rnacentral:rRNA from 1 species